UUGGUUAAGCUAAUAAGAGCGCAGGGUGGAUGCCUUGGCACUAAGAGCCGAUGAAAGACGUGAUAAGCUGCGAAAAGCUUCGGGGAGGAGCAAAUAUCCAUUGAUCCGGAGAUAUCUGAAUGGGGAAACCCGGCUGAGAAGACCUCAGUCAUCCAUACGCCAAUACAUAACGUAUGGAAGGGAACCCGCUGAACUGAAACAUCUAAGUAGGCGGAGGAAGAGAAAGAAACAUCGAUUCCCAAAGUAGCGGCGAGCGAAAUGGGAAGAGCCCAAACCAGAGUGCGUGCACUCUGGGGUUACGGACUGCAUAAGUGAGCUGAUUCGUUAAUGGAACGGUCCUGGAAAGACCGGCCAGAGAGAGUGAAAGCCUCGUACAUGAAAACGAUAGGCAGCGGCAGGAUCCAGAGUACCGCGAGACACGUGGAACCUUGCGGGAAUUCGGGGGGACCACCCCCCAAGGCUAAAUACUCCUUAGUGACCGAUAGCGCAUAGUACUGUGAAGGAAAGGUGAAAAGGACCCCGGGAGGGGAGUGAAAGAGAACCUGAAACCCUGUGUUUACAAGCUGUGGAAGCACGUUAAGGUGCAACCGCGUACUUUUUGUAGAACGGUCCGGCGAGUUGCGGAUGCUGGCGAGGUUAAGGAGUAAAGCUCCGGAGCCGAAGCGAGAGCGAGUCUUAAUAGGGCGUAAAGUCAGCAUGUGCAGACCCGAAACCGGGUGACCUAUCCAUGUCCAGGUUGAAGUUCCCGUAAAAGGGAAUGGAGGACCGAACGCACAUCCGUUGAAAAGGGUGGCGAUGAGGUGUGGAUAGGGGAGAAAUUCCAAUCGAACCCGGAGAUAGCUGGUUCUCCUCGAAAUAGCUUUAGGGCUAGCCUCGUAUUAGUUUAGCGGAGGUAGAGCACUGAAUUUCCUAGGGGGCGUCAAAGUCUACCGAAGAAUAUCAAACUCCGAAUGCCGCAUAAAUGAUGUACGGGAGUCAGACUGCACGAGAUAAGUUGGGUAGUCAAAAGGGAAAGAGCCCAGACCUACAGCUAAGGUCCCAAAGUGUGUGUUAAGUGGAAAAGGAUGUGGGAUUUCGAAGACAACUAGGAUGUUGGCUCAGAAGCAGCCACACAUUCAAAGAGUGCGUAAUAGCUCACUAGUCGAGAGGUCCUGCGCCGAAAAUGUCCGGGGCUAAAACACAACACCGAAGCUUAGGAAUGUAAUUAUACAUUGGUAGAGGAGCAUUCUUAAAGAGACGAAGCAGUACCGAUAAGGAGCUGUGGAUUUUUAAGAAGAGAGAAUGCCGGAAUGAGUAGCGAGAUGGAGGUGGGAAUCCUCCAGGCCGAAUAUCUAAGGUUUCCAGAGUAAAGCUGAUCUGCUCUGGGUAAGUCGGGGCCUAAGGCGAGGUCGAAAGACGUAGUCGAUGGAUAACAGGUUGAAAUUCCUGUACUGCAUAUCAUCAGAACUGUGGGGACACAGAGAGAUACCGGAACCUGGGAGUGAAGAUACCAGGGCAAGCGAGGUAGGUGCUAAGCUGGCAAAUCCGCUUAGUAAGCCGAAGACGUGAUGCGGAGCGAAUUAAAGUAGUGAAGUCCGGGAUUCGAGCUGUCGAGAAAAGCCGCUAUUGCGUGAUAUGUACCCGUACCGUAAACCGACACAGGUGGAUGAGGAGAGAAUCCUA
rnacentral:rRNA from 1 species